rnacentral:rRNA from 1 species
GGGUGAGUAACACGUGGGCAAUCUGCCCUUCACUCUGGGACAAGCCCUGGAAACGGGGUCUAAUACCGGAUAAUACUUUCUCCCUCCUGGGAGAAGGUUGAAAGCUCCGGCGGUGAAGGAUGAGCCCGCGGCCUAUCAGCUAGUUGGUGGGGUAAUGGCCUACCAAGGCGACGACGGGUAGCCGGCCUGAGAGGGCGACCGGCCACACUGGGACUGAGACACGGCCCAGACUCCUACGGGAGGCAGCAGUGGGGAAUAUUGCACAAUGGGCGAAAGCCUGAUGCAGCGACGCCGCGUGAGGGAUGACGGCCUUCGGGUUGUAAACCUCUUUCAGCAGGGAAGAAGCGAAAGUGACGGUACCUGCAGAAGAAGCGCCGGCUAACUACGUGCCAGCAGCCGCGGUAAUACGUAGGGCGCAAGCGUUGUCCGGAAUUAUUGGGCGUAAAGAGCUCGUAGGCGGCUUGUCACGUCGGUUGUGAAAGCCCGGGGCUUAACCCCGGGUCUGCAGUCGAUACGGGCAGGCUAGAGUGUGGUAGGGGAGAUCGGAAUUCCUGGUGUAGCGGUGAAAUGCGCAGAUAUCAGGAGGAACACCGGUGGCGAAGGCGGAUCUCUGGGCCAUUACUGACGCUGAGGAGCGAAAGCGUGGGGAGCGAACAGGAUUAGAUACCCUGGUAGUCCAC